GAUGAACGCUGGCGGCGUGCCUAAUACAUGCAAGUCGAGCGAACAGACGAGGAGCUUUCUCCUCUGACGUUAGCGGCGGACGGGUGAGUACCACGUGGAUAACCUACCUAUAAGACUGGGAUAACUUCGGGAACCCGGAGCUCAUACCGGAUAAUAUAUUGAACCGGAGGGUUCAAUAGUGAAAGACGGCUUUGCUGUUACUUGUAGAUGGAUCCGCGCCGCAUUAGCUAGUUGGUAAGGUAACGGCUUACCAAGGCAACGAUGCGUAGCCGACCUGAGAGGGUGAUCGGCCACACUGGAACUGAGACACGGUCCAGACUCCUACGGGAGGCAGCAGUAGGGAAUCUUCGACAAUGGGCGAAAGCCUGACGGAGCAACGCCGCGUGAGUGAUGAAGGUCUUCGGAUCGUAAAACUCUGUUAGUAGGGACGAACAAAUGUGUAAGUAACUAUGCACGUCUUGACGGUACCUAAACAGAAAGCCACGGCUAACUACGUG
rnacentral:rRNA from 1 species